AUUGAACGCUGGCGGCAUGCCUUACACAUGCAAGUCGAACGGUAACGCGGGGCAACCUGGCGACGAGUGGCGCACGGGUGAGUAAUGCAUCGGAACGUGCCCCGAAGUGGGGGAUAGCCCGGCGAAAGCCGGAUUAAUACCGCAUGAGACCUGAGGGUGAAAGCGGGGGAUCGCAAGACCUCGCGCUUUUGGAGCGGCCGAUGUCAGAUUAGCUAGUUGGUGGGGUAAAGGCCUACCAAGGCGACGAUCUGUAGCUGGUCUGAGAGGACGACCAGCCACACUGGAACUGAGACACGGCCCAGACUCCUACGGGAGGCAGCAGUGGGGAAUUUUGGACAAUGGGCGCAAGCCUGAUCCAGCCAUGCCGCGUGCGGGAAGAAGGCCUUCGGGUUGUAAACCGCUUUUGUCAGGGAAGAAACGCUCUGGGCUAAUACCCUGGGGUAAUGACGGUACCUGAAGAAUAAGCACCGGCUAACUACGUG
rnacentral:rRNA from 1 species